rnacentral:rRNA from 1 species
GAGUUUGAUCAUGGCUCAGGACGAACGCUGGCGGCGUGCUUAACACAUGCAAGUCGAACGGAGCGCCUAUGAAGGAGAUUUCGGUCAACGGAUUAGGUUGCUUAGUGGCGGACGGGUGAGUAACGCGUGAGGAACCUGCCUUUCAGAGGGGGACAACAGUUGGAAACGACUGCUAAUACCGCAUAACACAUAGGUGUCGCAUGGCAUUUAUGUCAAAGAUUUAUCGCUGAAAGAUGGCCUCGCGUCUGAUUAGCUAGUUGGUGAGGUAACGGCUCACCAAGGCGACGAUCAGUAGCCGGACUGAGAGGUUGGCCGGCCACAUUGGGACUGAGAUACGGCCCAGACUCCUACGGGAGGCAGCAGUGGGGAAUAUUGGGCAAUGGGCGCAAGCCUGACCCAGCAACGCCGCGUGAAGGAAGAAGGCUUUCGGGUUGUAAACUUCUUUUGACGGGGAAGAGUAGAAGACGGUACCUGUCGAAUAAGCCACGGCUAACUACGUGCCAGCAGCCGCGGUAAUACGUAGGUGGCAAGCGUUGUCCGGAUUUACUGGGUGUAAAGGGCGUGUAGCCGGGUUGACAAGUCAGAUGUGAAAUCCUGCGGCUUAACCGCAGAACUGCAUUUGAAACUGUUGAUCUUGAGUACUGGAGAGGCAGACGGAAUUCCUAGUGUAGCGGUGAAAUGCGUAGAUAUUAGGAGGAACACCAGUGGCGAAGGCGGUCUGCUGGACAGCAACUGACGGUGAGGCGCGAAAGCGUGGGGAGCAAACAGGAUUAGAUACCCUGGUAGUCCACGCUGUAAACGAUGGAUACUAGGUGUGCGGGGACUGACCCCCUGCGUGCCGCAGCUAACGCAAUAAGUAUCCCACCUGGGGAGUACGAUCGCAAGGUUGAAACUCAAAGGAAUUGACGG